GGAAGAAUGGCCAUUCAAGCACUUUCAGAGGAGGCAGAGUGAGAGAUGGGAAGACCGUUCUGGGUUUACACUGACAUAAUGUAUAGUCCUCUCACUCACCUGUGAACAUUUCAAUCACUCUUUUUAAAGGAACAACAAGUACAAAAGAGACUAGGCCAACUUUCAUAAGAUGCUCUGAGGUAAAGGGGAAGUGAGGCGUGAUGCAUGGAUACAUGGUAAAUAGAGAUAUCAGCCACUGUUUGCCAGAUACAUCUUACGAGACACAUCUCACAUCAAGACUGUAUCACUCACAAGAUGGAAGCAGAGGGUUCCAAAGCCCUAGUGGGUGCAGAGCCACAGAUGGGAGGAGCCUGGAUCCCUAAAUCGCACACUAAGGAAAACCGGCUACCAUCCAGGAAAACCCGUGUUGUACUAUUGUAGAAGUAACUCUACUUCUACGGGUUAAAUUGUUGAAACUUAGGGAUUUUUGUUACUGCAUUGGGUGUGCCUUAACUGAUACCAGGAUUGGGAUUGUACUGUGACUCUCCCGCUCUACAAGUCCUCUUUAAAGAUG
rnacentral:antisense_RNA from 1 species